rnacentral:rRNA from 1 species
AUUGAACGCUGGCGGCAGGCCUAACACAUGCAAGUCGAGCGGAUGACCAGACGGGUGCGGAAGGCCUAGGUAUCUGCCUGGGCCUGGUGGCGAGCGACAUGAAACGGACGCUAAUGCCGCAUACUCGCAGAUUAGCCUAGGCCGGAUUAGCUAGGUGGUGGGGGAGAGGCCAACCCAGGCGACGGACCGUAACUGGUCUGAGAGGAUGAUCAGUCACACUGGAACUGAGACACGGUCCAGACUCCUACGGGAGGCAGCAGUGGGGAAUAUUGGACAAUGGGCGAAAGCCCGAUGCAGCCAUGCCGCGUGUGUGAAGAAGGUCUUCGGGUUGUAAAGUACUUUAAGUUGGGAGGCGUUACCGACAGAAGAAGCACCGGCUAACUCCGUGCCAGCAGCCGCGGUAAUAC